rnacentral:lncRNA from 1 species
GAUACAACGUGCCCCAGAUGAGGUGUCCCAAAGCAGGACAAGGGCAUACGACAAACUUCUCCAAGUAACGUCCCAACAAGCAGCGCCAUAAACCGAGCAUUCUGGCAGUGUACACUCAUGAUUGGGCCUCAAGAUAGCCUAAACUCUUGUCUUAGCACGUAGAGGAGUAUGCAUUCUUGAUUAGGCCCAUGGACGAGAAUACAUUCACGAUUGGGGGCAUACUCAGAUAAUCAACAUGGGCAACCUUUCAAGAGAAGUGUUCAUUCAUAGCUAGGCCCGCAAGGAGCUGUAAACAUGAAAAUUCUAUAACAAAUGAAAUGAGAACACAUGUACAAAGUAGAUUUGUAUUAAUGAAUUUGUUGGUUAAAUCUCUGUUUAUGAAUUUGUUGGUUACAAUAUCUGUUUACAACUUUCCUCUGAUUCAGUCUUCAAAUUUGAUGUGGAUGCGUAGGUUGUUGAUCCAAAGUUUGUGAUGACUUCAUCUCAGACGAACGAUUGAAUGUUUGCUUCAAGUUUUGAGCUUAAAACAAUGCUUGGAUGGUCUUCACCUCAAAGAUGUGACAAAGAUGGUGUAGAUGUGAGAUUUCAUUGAUUCAAUGGCCUUGAUCUUGAAUCGAACGUCGUUACAAGUUUUGAGCUUGCAACAAAGUCAUGAAAGAAUCAUCACAAGUGCUUGUUGAUUCUUUAAGGGAGUGCUUCGGCUUUGGUUGAAUGAAAGCUUCAACUUUGGUUGUGAGUUCUUCGAAGAGAGUUUUGGCAACGAAUUAGUCUUUAAAGAUUUGUGUAGAGGUUCUUCUGAAUGUAGGAUUUUUGGCCUUUCAAUGUAGAAAUUGUCGACCUUUAUGCUUGUCUUGGGACCUUGUAUUUAUAGACUUCUCAAAGCUUUCCUUCGGAUGGAUUUGGCUUUGAUUUCUAUCUUGAUUCAUACUUGGGAGAAUUUAGGCAUGUUUUGUGUCUUAAUUUCAGCCACCUUCCUUAUAUUGGCUAAAAUUUAUAAACCUUGCUGCCUAUUUGUGAGCAAUCUUCAAUUCUUGCUUGUUUUGUGAAGAUGCUUUAGCUUUGUUUUCGGUUUUGGGAGAAAUUUGGGCCCCUAGCCAAUUUUAAAGAGAGAUUCCCCCCUUUGCCGAAUUUUAGAAAGGUUUUGAGCUUCCUUUGCUUGAUUUGUGCCAAAUGUCAUUGAUGACUUGUCAAUUUGUGAUGAGUCAUAUGCCACGUGGAGCUUUGUGAUGCAUCAUUUAUAUGCAAUCAAAUUUACAUGUCUACAAAUGCCCCCACUUCAAGACACGUUGUAAGCAUGUGCUUGUCACAUGUAGGAAACAUGUUUUGAAGUCCUGCAAUGCGACUGUUCUAACUGAAAGGUCGUUGAGACUUGAUCUUGAAUUAGUUUGCUUCUUUAAGGGCCGUAGAGACGUAUUUCUUGAACGAAACAUUUCUUCUAGGGCUGUAGAGGCUUGAUCUUGAAUUGAAAUGAUGAAUUUCGCCAAGGGCCGUAGAGGCUUGAUCUUGAAAGCAAUGCAAUUUUUUCUUCAAGGGCCAUAGAGACUUGAUCUUGAAAGAAAUGAAAUUUUUCUUCAAGGGCCGUAGAGGCUUGAUCUUGAAAGAAAUGAAUUUUUUUCCCCAAGGGCCGUAGAGGCUUGAUCUUGAAAGAAAUGAAAUCAUUUCCUUCAAGGGUCAUAGAAGCUUGAUCUUGAAAGAAAUUUUGGAAAUGGAUAAAUUGGUACAUACUUAUUGUAGUUAUUGAUUUUCCAUAAUUUUUGACAAAAUACAUUUGGUGUAUAUUGAAUUUUUUUUCCUUGUGGUUGUAGGAAGAAAAAAAAAAAAAAAAAGUUUUUCCUUCCUUAGAUAGGAACCUCCUUCAAUUUUGGCAAUGAUGGUGAUUUCCUUCAAAGUGUUGGAAAGCUAUUAGGAAAGCCUUUAACUUAUCAUUUUGCCACAGAUGUGCAGUUCUGAUGGGAAAACAACUUCUGCGGGAUUAACUUUGCAAACUGGAACAUUUGACUUUAGGGAAAAUUAUGAAAUUUGGACAUAACAAUCAUCAGCCUCUUAGCUUCCUUCUCCAAUUGGCCUUGCAUCAAACCUCCUUCGGAAAGUCCAAUUAUCACCAAAAACGUCCUGCUUGCGCAGAUUGGCUCAAACUUGCCAUUUUUUG